rnacentral:rRNA from 1 species
AACGUAGGACACAAGCGUUAUCCGGAGUUACUGGGCGUAAAGGGCGUUUAGGCGGGUGAUUAAGUUCGCUAUGAAAGCGCCAGGCUAAACCUGGCGAGGCUGGCGGAUACUGGUCAUCUGGAGUGUGGCAGAGGGAGGUAGAAUUCCACGUGUAGCAGUGAAAUGCGUAGAGAUGUGGAGGAAUACCGAUGGCGAAGGCAGCCUCCUGGGCCAACACUGACGCUCAUGCACGAAAGCGUGGGGAGCAAACAGG